UACGGGGGGAGCAAGCGUUGUUCGGAAUCACUGGGCGUAAAGGGCGCGUAGGCGGCCGCGUAAGUCGCGUGUGAAAGGCCGGGGCUCAACCCCGUGUACUGCAUGCGAUACUGCACGGCUUGAGAAAGGUAGAGGUGAGCGGAAUUCCCGGUGUAGCGGUGGAAUGCGUAGAUAUCGGGAAGAACACCAGUGGCGAAGGCGGCUCGCUGGGCCUUUUCUGACGCUGAAGCGCGAAAGCGUGGGGAGCAAACAGG
rnacentral:rRNA from 1 species